rnacentral:rRNA from 1 species
UACGUAGGGUGCAAGCGUUGUCCGGAAUUAUUGGGCGUAAAGAGCUCGUAGGCGGUCUGUCGCGUCUGCUGUGAAAACUCGGGGCUUAACCCCGGGCCUGCAGUGGGUACGGGCAGACUAGAGUGCGGUAGGGGAGACUGGAAUUCCUGGUGUAGCGGUGAAAUGCGUAGAUAUCUGGAGGAACACCGGUGGCGAAGGCGGCAUCCUGGACCAUGACUGACGCUGAGGAGCGAAAGCCAGGGGAGCAAACGGG